rnacentral:rRNA from 1 species
GUGCGACACGUGUGCACCUGCCUUUAUCUGGGGGUAGCUUUCGAGGAGAUAUACCCAUAUNUGUGAUGCUCUCGACUUUGAACUCCGUGAUAAGAUGGCCGCGCAGAUAAAUNGUGGUGAGGUACGGCACCAGUCUACGAUCUUAGGGGNCUGAGAGGUGAUCCCCACACUGUACUGAACACGGACAAACUCUACGGGAGCAGCAUGAGGNAUAUGGGACAUGGUGAAAGCUGAUCCAGCCAUCCCGCGUGAAGGACGACUGCCCUAUGGGUUGUAAACUUCUUUUGUAUAGGGAUAAACCUACCCUCGUGAGGGUAGCUGAAGGUACUAUACGAAUAAGCACCGGCUAACUCCGUGCCAGCAGCCGCGGUAAUACGGAGGGUGCAAGCGUUAUCCAGAUUUAUUGGGUUUAAAGGGUCCGUAGGCGGAUCUGUAAGUCAGUGGUGAAAUCUCACAGCUUAACUGUGAAACUGCCAUUGAUACUGCAGGUCUUGAGUGUUGUUGAAGUAGCUGGAAUAAGUAGUGUAGCGGUGAAAUGCAUAGAUUUUACUUAAAAACACCAAUUGUGAAGGCAGGUUACUAAGCAACAACUGACGCUGA